AGUGAACGCUGGCGGUAGGCCUAACACAUGCAAGUCGAACGGCAGCACAGUAAGAGCUUGCUCUUCCGGGUGGCGAGUGGCGGACGGGUGAGGAAUACAUCGGAAUCUACUUUUUCGUGGGGGAUAACGUAGGUAAACUUACUCUAAUACCGCAUACGACCUACGGGUGAAAGCAGGGGAUCUUCGGACCUUGCGCGAUUGAAUGAGCCGAUGUCGGAUUAGCUAGUUGGCGGGGUAAAGGCCCACCAAGGCGCCGAUCCGUAGCUGGUCUGAGAGGAUGAUCAGCCACACUGGAACUGAGACAGGGUCCAGACGCCUACGGGAGGCAGCAGUGGGGAAUAGUGGACAAUGGGCGCAAGCCUGAUCCAGCCAUACCGCGUGGGUGAAGAAGGCCUUCGGGUUGUAAAGCCCUUUUGUUGGGAAAGAAAAGCAGCAGGUUAAUACCCAGCUGUUCUGACGGUACCCAAAGAAUAAGCACCGGCUAACUUCGUG
rnacentral:rRNA from 1 species